AGGCCAGUAGCUCAGUUGGACAGAGCGACAGAUUCCUAAUCUGUAGGUCGCGGGUUCGACCCCCGCCUGGCCUACCA
rnacentral:tRNA from 1 species